UCCUGGGUGCGAUCAUACCAGCACUAA
rnacentral:rRNA from 1 species